rnacentral:rRNA from 1 species
GAUGAACGCUGGCGGCGUGCCUAAUACAUGCAAGUCGAGCGAACGGGCGAGAAGCUUGCUUCUCUGAUGUUAGCGGCGGACGGGUGAGUAACACGUGGAUAACCUACCUAUAAGACUGGGAUAACUUCGGGAAACCGGAGCUAAUACCGGAUGAUAUUUUGAACCGCAUGGUUCAAAAGUGAAAGACGGUCUUGCUGUCACUUAUAGAUGGAUCCGCGCUGCAUUAGCUAGUUGGUAAGGUAACGGCUUACCAAGGCAACGAUGCAUAGCCGACCUGAGAGGGUGAUCGGCCACACUGGAACUGAGACACGGUCCAGACUCCUACGGGAGGCAGCAGUAGGGAAUCUUCCGCAAUGGGCGAAAGCCUGACGGAGCAACGCCGCGUGAGUGAUGAAGGUCUUCGGAUCGUAAAACUCUGUUAUUAGGGAAGAACAUAUGCGUAAGUAACUGUGCACAUCUUGACGGUACCUAAUCAGAAAGCCACGGCUAACUACGUG